rnacentral:rRNA from 1 species
CUGAUGCAGCCAUGCCGCGUGUGUGAAGAAGGCCUUCGGGUUGUAAAGCACUUUCAGCGAGGAGGAAAGGUCAGUAGCUAAUAUCUGCUAGCUGUGACGUUACUCGCAGAAGAAGCACCGGCUAACUCCGUGCCAGCAGCCGCGGUAAUAC